rnacentral:rRNA from 1 species
ACGAACGCUGGCGGCGUGCUUAACACAUGCAAGUCGAACGGUGAAGCGCCUUCCUUUUUGGUGGGUGUGGAUGAGUGGCGAACGGGUGAGUAACACGUGAGUAACCUGCCCCCUUCUUCUGGAUAACCGCAUGAAAGUGUGGCUAAUACGGGAUAUUCUGGGUCUGUCGCAUGAUGGGUCUGGGAAAGAUAUUGUUUCGGUGGGGGAUGGGCUCGCGGCCUAUCAGCUUGUUGGUGGGGUGAUGGCCUACCAAGGCGGUGACGGGUAGCCGGCCUGAGAGGGUGGACGGUCACACUGGGACUGAGACACGGUCCAGACUCCUACGGGAGGCAGCAGUGGGGAAUAUUGCACAAUGGGCGCAAGCCUGAUGCAGCGACGCCGCGUGAGGGAUGGAGGCCUUCGGGUUGUGAACCUCUUUCGCCAGUGAAGCAGGCCUGCCUCGUUUGUGGGUGGGUUGACGGUAGCUGGAUAAGAAGCGCCGGCUAACUACGUG